rnacentral:rRNA from 1 species
AACGAACGCUGGCGGCAUGCCUAACACAUGCAAGUCGAACGAGACCUUCGGGUCUAGUGGCGCACGGGUGCGUAACGCGUGGGAACCUGCCCUUAGGUUCGGAAUAACUCCCCGAAAGGGGUGCUAAUACCGGAUAAUGUCUUCGGACCAAAGAUUUAUCGCCUUUGGAUGGGCCCGCGUUGGAUUAGCUAGUUGGUAGGGUAAAAGCCUACCAAGGCGACGAUCCAUAGCUGGUCUGAGAGGAUGAUCAGCCACACUGGGACUGAGACACGGCCCAGACGAAUGCAGGAGGAAGCAGUGGAGAAGGUUGGACAAGGGGAUGAAGGCUGAUCCAGCAAUGCCGCGGGAGUGAUGAAGGCAGUAGGGGUAUAAAACGCUUUUACCCGGGAGGAUAAAGACAGAAGAGGAAGAAGAAACUCCGGCUAACUCC